UAAUACGGAGAGUGCAAGCGUUGUUCGGAAUUACUGGGCUUAAAGCGCGUGUAGGCGGGAUGACAGGUAUCUUGUGAAAGCCCCGGGCUCAACUCGGGAACGGCAAGGUAAACCGGCAUUCUUGAGGCAGGUAGAGGUGACUGGAACAACUGGUGGAGCGGUGAAAUGCGUAGAUAUCAGUUGGAACGCCGGAGGCGAAAGCGAGUCACUGGACCUGUCCUGACGCUGAGACGCGAAAGCGUGGGUAGCGAACAGGAUUAGAUACCCUGGUAGUCCACGCCGUAAACGAUGCGCACUAGGUAUAAGAGGCUCUGACGCCGAUUGUGCCGAAGCAAAAGUGAUAAGUGCGCCGCCUAGGGAGUACGGCCGCAAGGCUA
rnacentral:rRNA from 1 species